rnacentral:rRNA from 1 species
AUUGAACGCUGGCGGCAGGCCUAACACAUGCAAGUCGAGCGGGGUUUUCGGACCUAGCGGCGGACGGGUGAGUAAUGCGUAGGAAGCUACCCGAUAGAGGGGGAUACCAGUUGGAAACGACUGUUAAUACCGCAUAAUGUCUACGGACCAAAGUGUGGGACCUUCGGGCCACAUGCUAUCGGAUGCGCCUACGUGGGAUUAGCUAGUUGGUGGGGUAAUGGUUCACCAAGGCGACGAUCCCUAGCUGGUUUGAGAGGAUGAUCAGCCACACUGGAACUGAGACACGGUCCAGACUCCUACGGGAGGCAGCAGUGGGAAUAUUGGACAAUGGGCGCAAGCCUGAUCCAGCCAUGCCGCGUGUGUGAAGAAGGCCUUCGGGUUGUAAAGCACUUUCAGUAGGGAGGAAGGGUGUUGUGUUAAUAGCACAGCAUUUUGACGUUACCUACAGAAGAAGCACCGGCUAACUCUGUGCCAGCCGCCGCCGUAAUAC